AAGUCCUUUAAAUUAGUCCUGUGAGACUAAUAAGGGAAGUUGAAAUCUUUACAUUUAGUCUAACUAUUUAGGUUAGAUUAUAUCUAAAUGUAGAUAAAUUUUGGCCUUCUUAUUCCUCGCGGGAUGGGAAGGCUUUUUU
rfam:Selenihalanaerobacter shriftii strain ATCC BAA-73 genome assembly, contig: EI55DRAFT_scaffold00025.25